UACGUAGGGCGCAAGCGUUGUCCGGAAUUAUUGGGCGUAAAGAGCUCGUAGGUGGCUUGUCGCGUCUGCCGUGAAAGCCCAUGGCUUAACUGUGGGUCUGCGGUGGAUACGGGCAGGCUGGAGGCUGGUAGGGGCAAGCGGAAUUCCUGGUGUAGCGGUGAAAUGCGCAGAUAUCAGGAGGAACACCGGUGGCGAAGGCGGCUUGCUGGGCCAGUUCUGACGCUGAGGAGCGAAAGCAUGGGGAGCGAACAGG
rnacentral:rRNA from 1 species